AGUCGAGCGGACAGAAGGGAGCUUGCUCCCGGAUGUUAGCGGCGGACGGGUGAGUAACACGUGGGUAACCUGCCUGUAAGACUGGGAUAACUCCGGGAAACCGGAGCUAAUACCGGAUAGUUCCUUGAACCGCAUGGUUCAAGGAUGAAAGACGGUUUCGGCUGUCACUUACAGAUGGACCCGCGGCGCAUUAGCUAGUUGGUGGGGUAAUGGCUCACCAAGGCGACGAUGCGUAGCCGACCUGAGAGGGUGAUCGGCCACACUGGGACUGAGACACGGCCCAGACUCCUACGGGAGGCAGCAGUAGGGAAUCUUCCGCAAUGGACGAAAGUCUGACGGAGCAACGCCGCGUGAGUGAUGAAGGUUUUCGGAUCGUAAAGCUCUGUUGUUAGGGAAGAACAAGUGCGAGAGUAACUGCUCGCACCUUGACGGUACCUAACCAGAAAGCCACGGCUAACUACGUGCCAGCAGCCGCGGUAAUACGUAGGUGGCAAGCGUUGUCCGGAAUUAUUGGGCGUAAAGGGCUCGCAGGCGGUUUCUUAAGUCUGAUGUGAAAGCCCCCGGCUCAACCGGGGAGGGUCAUUGGAAACUGGGAAACUUGAGUGCAGAAGAGGAGAGUGGAAUUCCACGUGUAGCGGUGAAAUGCGUAGAGAUGUGGAGGAACACCAGUGGCGAAGGCGACUCUCUGGUCUGUAACUGACGCUGAGGAGCGAAAGCGUGGGGAGCGAACAGGAUUAGAUACCCUGGUAGUCCACGCCGUAAACGAUGAGUGCUAAGUGUUAGGGGGUUUCCGCCCCUUAGUGCUGCAGCU
rnacentral:rRNA from 1 species